GAUGAACGCUAGCGGGAGGCCUAACACAUGCAAGCCGAGCGGGAUUUGAGACUAGCUUGCUAGUCUUAAUGAGAGCGGCGUACGGGUGCGGAACACGUGUGCAACCUGCCUUUAUCUGGGAGAUAGCCUUUCGAAGGGAAGAUUAAUAUCCCAUAAUAUAAUGAUUGGCAUCAAUUAUUAUUGAAAGCUCCGGCGGAUAGAGAUGGGCACGCGCAAGAUUAGAUAGUUGGUGAGGUAACGGGUCACCAAGUCGAUGAUAUUUAGGGGGCCUGGGAGGGUGAUCCCCCACACGGGUAAUGAGACACGGACCAGACUCCCACGGGGGGCAGCAGUGAGGAAUAUUGGACAAUGGGUGAAAGCCUGAUCCAGCCAUCCCGCGUGAAUGAUUAAGGACCUAUGGUUUGUAAACUUCUUUUCUACAGGGAUAAACCUACUCUCGUGAGAGUAGCUGAAGGUACUGUAGGAAUAAGCACCGGCUAACUCCGUGCCAGCAGCCGCCGCGGUAA
rnacentral:rRNA from 1 species